AUUGAACGCUGGCGGCAUGCCUUACACAUGCAAGUCGAACGGUAACGGGCCUUCGGGUGCCGACGAGUGGCGAACGGGUGAGUAAUGUAUCGGAACGUACCUUUCAGUGGGGGAUAACGCAGCGAAAGUUACGCUAAUACCGCAUAUUCUGUGUGCAGGAAAGCAGGGGAUCGCAAGACCUUGCGCUGAUUGAGCGGCCGAUAUCAGAUUAGCUAGUUGGUGAGGUAAAGGCUCACCAAGGCGACGAUCUGUAGCGGGUCUGAGAGGAUGAUCCGCCACACUGGAACUGAGACACGGUCCAGACUCCUACGGGAGGCAGCAGUGGGGAAUUUUGGACAAUGGGGGCAACCCUGAUCCAGCCAUGCCGCGUGAGUGAAGAAGGCCUUCGGGUUGUAAAGCUCUUUCGGCCGGGAAGAAAUCGUAUCAGCUAAUACCUGGUGCGGAUGACGGUACCGGCAUAAGAAGCACCGGCUAACUCUGUGCCAGCCGCCGCCGUAAAAC
rnacentral:rRNA from 1 species